AUGAGAGCACCAGCUGUUCCAGACGACUGUGUAAUCACACUCUCCGUAGCCGAUGUGAGCAAGAUCUUUAAACAGGUCAACAUUCACAAGGCCAGACAGAUUACCAGGACGUGUACUCAGAGCAUACUAGGACCAACUGGCAAGUACCUCAUUGUCAUUUUCAACCUCUCCCUGACCGAGUCUAUAUUACCUACAUGUUUAAAGCAGACCGCCAUAGUCCCUGUGCCCAAGAAAGUGAAGGUAACCUACCUAAAUGACUACCGCCCCAUAGCACUCACGUCGGUAGCCAUGAAGCGUUUUGAAAGGCUGGUCAUGACUGACAUCAACACCAUCAUCCCGGAAACCCUAGACCCACUCCAAUUCGCAUACCGCCCCAACAGAUCCACAGAUUAUACAAUCUCAAUCGCACUCCACACUGCCCUUUCCCACCUGGACAAAAGGACCACGUAUGUGAGAAUGCUGUUUAUUGACUACAGCUCAACAUUCAACACAAGAGUGCCCACAAAUCUCAUCACUAAGCUAAGGAACCUGGGACUAAACACCUCCCUCUGCAACUGGAUCCUGGAUUUCCUGAUGGGCCCUCCCCAGGUGGUAAGGGUAGGCAACAACACAUCUGCCACGCUGAUCCUCAACAAGAGGUGCAUGCUUAGUCCCCUUGUAUACUCCUUGUUCACCAGCAACUGCAUGGCCAAGCACGACUCCAACACAAUCAUUAUGUUUGCUGACGACAAAACAGUGGUAGGCCUGAUUACCGACAACGAUGAGACAGCUUAUAGGGUGAAGGUCAGAGACCUGGCAGUGUGGUGCCAGGACAACAAACUCUCCCUCAAUGUGAGCAAGGCAAAGGAGCUGAUCGUGGACUACAGGAAAAGGAGGGCCAAACAUGCCACCAUUCACAUCGAUGGGGCUGUAGUGGAGCGGGUCAAGUGUUUCAUGUUCCUUGGUGUUCACAUCACCAACAAACUAAUAUUGUCCAAACACACCGAGACAGUUGUGAAGAGGUCACGACAACACCUUUUCCCCCUCAGGAGACUGAAAAGAAUUGGCAUGGGACCCCAGAUCCUCAAAACGUUCUACAGCUGCACCAUCGAGAGCAUCCUGACCAGUUGCAUCACUGCCUGGUAUGGCAACUGCUUGGUAUCCGACCGUACGGCACUACAGACGGUAGUAGUACAUCACUGGGGCCAAGCUUCCUGCCAUCCAGGACCUAUAUACCAGGCGGUGUCAGAGGAAAGCUCAAAAAAUUGUCAGACUCCAGUCACCCUAGUCAUAGACUUUUCUAUCUGCUACCGCACGGCAAGCGGUACCGGAGCACCAAGACUAGGUCCAAAAGAGUCCUUAACAGCUUCUGCCCCAAGCCAUAAGACUGCUGGACAAUAA
rnacentral:lncRNA from 8 species